rnacentral:lncRNA from 1 species
UUUUUGUUACCAAACAGAGCCUAAAGUUAUUAUCUUUACUAAAUUAAUAGCGUGUAGUUCUUCGCAAACUUGGCAACGAUGCGUUCCCGCGCCAGGAACCUCUCUCAUCCUCUAACGCUUUGCCCAUUUUGUUUUUGUUGGGCUCCUUUUUGGCAUAUUCUGCAGCAGAAGAGAUGAGUUUUUGUUAGAGAAGCAGAAUUUAAAUUUUUACUAUUUGUGGAACCUAUACGAAUAGGUUUGUAAUUUUAAUCUUUUGCAGAUCAUUUUAUGGGAUAUAUUGUGUAACAUUUCAUGUUAAUUAAGAAUCUGCGACUUCAGUAUCACAUUUUCUGAAGAAGAAAAAAAAUCAGAAAGGAAGUUUGGAAAAACAAAUGUGGAAUAGUAAAAUUUUGGUGCAAAAUUUGUAAACAGAGAUGAUUUUGAUUUUUUUAGUCUAAAAAAAAUUUCUUUCAAUUUAACCUUAUAAUUUAAAAUACUUUUAAUUUAAUUUCUAAUAAAAAAAAAUUGACAAAACGGUCAUAAAACAAGGGACUUAAAAGUGCAUUUUUAUCUUUUAAAAAGUUAUUGUUAUUCAUUGUACACUAUUUUUCUUCUAAAAUUUGUACAAAGAAUUACAAGCAUUUUUAAAAUGUAAAAAUGUAUUUUUUGAUUAUUUUUAAACGUACUUUUGAGAAAUUUUGUAGUUAGUAAAGGAAUGUGUACUUAAUUCAGUUCACAUAUAUUUAGUUUUCAUAAAUUUAAAAUUUUAUAGUAAAUAGAAGUACAAAUUGAAAAAGUAAAAAAAGGAAAGGAAAGGAAGUAAGGAGCAAAACCUUAGUCCAACCUCUGGUCUUCUCCUUCCGGUUUGAUUUUUAGUCCCUCUGUCCUUGUACUAUAUCAAUUUGUGUUGUAUUGUUUUUCUUGAAUUUGACUUCUCUAAAGUGAAACGUUUGUAAAGUGAGUAGAUUAAUACUUGAUAUUACAACUAUUACAACUAUCUAUGAUUGGUUAUGGAUGUACACAUAAUAUAAAUCAUUGAUUUAAUUUGAUUUAUAUUACUCACUAUAUUCUUUUAAAGUGAGUUGCUCAUUUUAGAGUAGUGAAAUCCAUUUUUCUUUGUAUCCAAUUUGUUUGUGUUAAGUUUGAAGGUUACAUGUGAUUGUAUUGUAACUCAGUGGUGGUUCUUUUCACACAUUGCAACUCUUCUAUAAUUUGAAAACUCAAAAUAAAGUGAUAAGUAAGUGUAUGAUUGGUGUUUGGUUUAGUUUCACAUUCAAUCUUAAACUGAAUUGUCAUUAAUUUUGCUUAUAAUUAUUAAUUUAGAGUUUAAAAUUUAAAGUUACUCUUUUAAAAUGUUUCAAGACACUACUUUUUUUUUUUUGGUGAGAUUCUAGUUUAUGUUUAUGUUUGCAUUCCUUAAACUAUUGAAGUUUUUGUUGUUGUUGAGACUAAUGGAGAUGCAUUGUUACUUAGUUUAAAUUAAUUUUACUGUGACAACCAAUUAGAAGAAUUUUUUACAGUUAUUCUUUUAAAAAAAGUUUUAUGAUUGAUUCAUGUGGCAGACAGAUGAAUGGCUAUUGGAUAACAGUUUAAAAUAAUUUUACACAAUCAGUGCUAUUCUAUUAAACUCAUGAAAUUAUAACCAACAAAAUAGUAACAGUGUAUGUUUCCUUUUCUUUUUUUGUUAAUGUUUAUGUUUACGAUCCUUAAGGUAUUUUAUGAUUCAGUUUCAGUUUAUGUUUUCAGUAUGAUUAUUUGCGAUCCUUAAGCUAUUGGAGGUUUUUAUCCUUCUUUUUCAUUUAUAGAUUGUUUGGUGAAAGUUUGCAUUUUCAAGUUGGAGGGUUUCUUAAGCUUAAAGAACUUGAUCUCACUAGAUUGAAUCAACUAAGUUCUAUUACUAUAGAUAAAGGAGCUUUACUUUGUCUUGAACAUUUUAGAUUUAAUCACAAUCCUCAGUUGAAGGUGGUUCCACAAGACCUUCAACAUUUGAAAAAUCUUAAAUUCCUUGGAUUUGCUGAUAUGCCAGAUGAGUUGGUUGAAAGCAUUGAUCCAGAGAAAGGUGGAGAGUGUCAUUGGAUUGUCAAACAUAUUCCGCUUGUACUAAUUUAGAAGAAAGUAGGAUAAAAGAUUUCAUGAUUAUGAGUUGCGCUCAAUUCCUACUCAAUCCAAUGUCCGACAUAUUAAGGUACUCACCCUUUCCUCUUACCAUGUAAUGCUCUACAUAGCAAUGACAGCUUAGAUAAAAAAUGUGUCUAUGUCCAACAUGUGUCACUGUCUGACUCUGACUUAGAUUUUUAUUGCAUUCAAUCACUUUCAUUUUCUUAAAUUAUUACCAGUGUUUGCAUUUCAGGAUCUUUGUAGUGUUCGGUGUCUGUAUUAGUGUAAGUGAUUCAAAGGUAAUGCUUCUCUUAUGAAUAUUUGAAAUUACAUUAUAACAUGAUUUUUAAUUUUUUUUAUAGCAAAAUUAUAAUAUCUAAGUUGAUUUUGUAUUAUGUACCACUCCUCUGCAUAUCAGGUUGAAUGAAAGUGGCUAUAUAUAUAUUUUUGUUGUGUAUGAUGUUUGUAUUAAUUAAGUUAUUGUUUUUAUAUUUUUUUAUUUUCUCAUGCAUGAGUUUACUUUCUAGCUUCAAUAAGCUCUUUCAUAAACCAUGUAGCAAGAUUGUUUAAUAAGCAUUCAAAAAUUAAGGUCACAACAAGACUAAUUAGCUUGUUGUGUCAUUUGUAUAUAAUGCUCAAACUUGAUUGUUUCCUUUAUCUAUGUGAACAGAUUCAAUUCUCUAAGUUGCAGAUGCACUCUAUCUCUUCAUUCCUUCAUUUGAAUGAAUAUUUUUAAGAUUAAGGUGAAGUUUAUUUUAGCUUCUAGUUUCUAAGUGAUUCUUUUAUAUGAGAUGAAGUCCUAGUUGUAGUAGUUAGUUUAAUCACUCUUAGAUGUUUUGUAAAUAUUAUUACCAAGCUAGUGUUAAAAAGUAUAUAUAAUAACAAAUCUUGUUGUAUUAUAAUCAUAAUAAUAAUAAUUAUAUUCUUGAAAUCAGAUGGAACAAGAGGAAAUGUGAAUUCCACUAACAUUCCAACCGCAAUUGCGGUUACCUUAGUCACAUUUGCUUGCAUUUUGUUGUAAUAUCAAACUUCUCAACUAACUGAACUGCAUCCCCACCACAAUUUAGAACCACUCCCAAGGUAAAAUAUCAUACAAUAUGUUUAUUUGGUUUAAAUUAGACAUUUGUUUUUGUUGUCUCGGGAGUUGGUGUUCAAUUGGUUUGUAUAUAAUUAAUAAUUCUCAAUAAUUUUUUUUAGGUCUUAAUCAUGUGGUUCUCAAGAGAAAAGGGUCUUGAUAGUCUAGAGUUUAACCAGAAGGUAAGUAAAAUAUGACAAAAAAUUAUUUGAGUCGGAAUUCAAACUCGGGUAUAAUUCUCACUGAAUUAGUCGUUGUCUUAAUUGCUUAUUAUUUAGUACUCUACUAGAUAAAUAUGCAUAGUGGUCCAAUGUGAAUUUUUAAAAGCAUAUAUGUAAUGUAAGAAAUGCUAUUAGCAACAACAUAUAAUGUAGUUCUUAGGUUUGCUUACACACAAGUAACAAACAUAUUAGGUUGCUGACUCCAACUUUGAUCAACAUAUAAAUAACACCACAAAUGACAGAAAACAUAAAGUACACAUUCCUUGAUUAUAGUAGAUGAGUUCAAUUCAAGGAAAUUUUAUUAGCUGAAUCAAGCACACAAUUUGUGAGCUGCAACGUGGAGAAUUUGAAUCUGUUCACAUAGACACAGGAAACUAUCAAAAAUUGAACAUGAUACAAAUAACAUAACAAGCUAAUUGGUCUUGUGAACUUAAAUUUUCUAAUGCUGAAUAAACAAUCUUGUUACAUGAUUUUGGAAAGAGCUGAUUGAAGUUAGAAGUAUCACACAUCAAUAAACAUGCAUGACGAAAAUAAAAAAUAAAAUAAAAUGUGAAUUAACACAAACAUCACACUUCACAAAAUCAGAGAUACAAAAAUAUAGCCACUUUCAUUCAACCAUUAUAUGCAUAGGGGUGUUACAUAUACUUGUAAAUAGCCACUAUAGUAUAGCAGAAUUUUAACAAAUUGCUUUAUUUCUGCGACACAAGAUUUAAUACAAAGCAUUGUGAAAUAACAGAUAUAGACUCUAGCACUGUAGUAUAGCGGAAUUCAAACAAACCACUAUUUUUCAUGAUCGGCAAUUGAAAAUAUUGACAUACACAAUCAACAUAAAUAUUGUAAUUUUUUAUCACAACAAAUUGUAAGAUAACUUUUCUUUAUGGUAGAGAUUCUUUGUCAUUAGAAGAAGUACAAGCUGCACUAAUCUCCAAAGAAUUGAAGAGGAUAGUAGCCGGAAAAAUGAAGCAGUUACAGUUGAUUGAUUUUGGAGCACCUUUGCAUUGCCUAGUCAUAACAGGCAAGACCCAUCCCUUGGAGGAAGAAAUGCUGGAUUUUUACAGAUGCAGAACUUAGUUACAACACCAACACCAAAGCUUGUUUUUGCAAAACAUUUUUGUUACCAAACAGAGCCUAAAGUUAUUAUCUUUACUAAAUUAAUAGCGUGUAGUUCUUCGCAAACUUGGCAACGAUGCGUUCCCGCGCCAGGAACCUCUCUCAUCCUCUAACGCUUUGCCCAUUUUGUUUUUGUUGGGCUCCUUUUUGGCAUAUUCUGCAGCAGAAGAGAUGAGUUUUUGUUAGAGAAGCAGAAU